AUUCCAGCUCCAAUAGCGUAUACUAAAGUUGUUGCAGUUAAAAAGCUCGUAGUUGGAUUUCUAAUCUCUCUUGGGGUUCCUUUUCUAAAGAAAUGUGCGACCAUUCAAGAGAGAUUAUCCUCGUGCCUAGCCUUUCUCACUUUCAUUAGUCAGGAAGGGGACGCACGUCAUUUACUGUGAGCAAAAUAGAGUGUUCAAAGCAGGCUUAGGCCAUGAAUAUAUUAGCAUGGAAUAAUAAGAUAGGACCUUGGUCUAUUUUGUUGGUUUACAUUCCAAGGUAAUGAUUAAUAGGGAUAGUUGGGGGUAUUCGUAUUCAAUUGUCAGAGGUGAAAUUCUUGGAUUUAUGGAAGACGAACUACUGCGAAAGCAUUUACCAAGGAUGUUUUCAUCG
rnacentral:rRNA from 1 species